rnacentral:sRNA from 1 species
GGGAAGGAUAGAGAAGUAUGCGCAAGGCCAAACCCCUAACCCGCAAACCUCAUCAUCCACCCACUUCUAGUUGAGCCGUAAGUUUAGCUCUAGGUUUUUUGCUGUUUAGGUUCAAAUGAUGGGACUUCUUGUCCCCUUGGGGAAUAAUUUUGAUCUCCUGACUCUCCCUUCUCUUAGUCCUUCAACUAACCUCUGUCUGUCCUUCUCCCAUCUCACCUUCAUCCCUCACUGAUCACCCCGAUCUGAUCCCCCUUGCUCCACCUGUAGCCCCCAACUCACUCCCACUGCCCCCUGCCUCUCUCCUCCUAACCCAGCCAGUUCAGGCUUCUAACCCAGUUCAGGCUCCCAACCCAGACAGUUCUCCGGCAAGAUUUCUGCAACUAAGAAAAGUAAACCCCAGAAACAGAAUGAAAGAGCCGGGAGCUGGAGGGACCAAGAGCAGAGACAGAGAGCAAGGACCGAAACUGCUUCUUCAUGACACCAAAAUACAAAGUAAAACAUGCAGUCAGCCAUUCACGUGAUUGAGAGCUGAGUCGGGGAUGUGCAGCCCAAAUACCACAACGACUCGUUGCAUUUUUCACUUUCCGUCUAAUGUUUCGAAAUCAAGGCACUGACGUGAAGAUCAAAGACGGUAUAAGAAAGAAAGCAAGAGAUAAAUGACAGAGUCCUCCCCCCCAAAAAAUAAAUAAAAAACAGGUGCAUGAUUAGAGAGAUGUCGGGAAGUUAGAAAACUAGGGAGCGGGAGCAGAGUCGCUGUCAAAUGGAGAGAACUUAGGGGAUCAAGGAGGAGAGAAAGGGAACCAACCAGCUGUUGGCCUUGCACAUACUUCAGUCUGCUUGAUCAACAAGACUCUUAAAGUAGAAAUGAUUGUUGCAUUCUUACAAAGAAGACAAUGCCUUCAGCAGUGUUUCCCAAGGUGAAUGCUGUGUACUGGGGGUAAAGGGAGAGUAGAGCUAGGAAUUGGUAUUGAGUAUCUUGCCUCGGAACUACGGGUGCCAGCUCUUGUGGGGAUGUCCUCAGCCAUGUGUAGAGCCAGAGCUGAUUUAUUCCAUCUGUCCUUGCCCAGCCAGAGGUUGGGCAUCUGGCUAUAGGCAAAGCCCUUCUAGAAACUAGGGAAUAAGGCAAGCACUUAGCUUGGGGAGCCCAGGAGACCUACGAAGAGAAGGAGGCAGAUGUCAGCAAGCAGGCUAUCUGUGUACUUAGUGAGGUGGCUUUGAGCUGGAGCCUGGGCCAAGCCAUGGUGGGGACCAGGUGUGUGGAUGGGGCCAAGCCUAGGAAUAGUGCUAGAGCAGGGACAGGGAUUGGGCAGAGCCAGGGACUAACACAUCUGAGAGCUCAUUGCCAACUUGCUUAGCCCUCGGCCCCUACCUUCUUUCCUGGGAGGCAUCAGACUCAGCUUGGCUCUUCUCAGCCACCACUGCAGCUUCUGAUCACAGACAGCACAGGACAGUGAUUUAGGGAGUCACACUAGCUCUAGAAUCAGACACAUCUGGAUUCAUGUGCCCACUCUGCCCCUUACGGGGUCCACUGGCCUCGGGCGAGUCAUAGCCUCUCUGAACCUCCCUUUCUUCUUUGGUAAAAUUGGGGUCAUCAAUGCCUGCCUGCCCCCCCUCCCAGCUGUGGUACCGACACUCUUCUCCCCAGAGACAGAGCUGCCCAGCCCUCCGUCUGUGUGGUUUGAAGCAGAAUUUUUCCACCACAUCCUCCACUGGACACCCAUCCCAAAUCAAUCUGAAAGUACCUGCUAUGAAGUGGCGCUCCUGAGGUAUGGAAUAGAGCCCUGGAACUCCAUCUCCAACUGUAGCCAGGCCCUGUCCUACGACCUUACCACAGUGACCCUGGACCUGUACCGCAGCAGUGGCUACCGGGCCAGAGUCCGGGCUGUGGACGGCAGCCGGCACUCCAACUGGACCGUCACCAACACCCGCUUCUCUGUGGAUGAAGUGACUCUGACAGUUGGCAGUGUGAAGCUAGAGAUCCACAAUGGCUUCAUCCUCGGGGAGAUUCAGCCCCCCAGGCCCAAGAUGGCCCCUGCAAAUGACACAUAUGAAAGCAUCUUCAGUCACUUCCGAGAGUAUGAGAUUGCCAUUCGCAAGGUGCCAGGAAACUUCACGUUCACACACAAGAAAGUAAAACAUGAAAACUUCAGCCUCCUAACCUCUGGAGAAGUGGGAGAGUUCUGUGUCCAGGUGAAACCAUCUGUCGCUUCCCGAACUAACAAGGGGAUGUGGUCUAAAGAGGAGUGCGUCUCCCUCACCAGGCAGUAUUUCACCGUGACCAACGUCAUCAUCUUCUUUGCCUUUGUCCUGCUGCUCUCCGGAGUCCUCGCCUACUGCCUGGCCCUCCAGCUGUAUGUGCGGCGCCGAAAGAAGCUGCCCAGUGUCCUGCUCUUCAAGAAGCCCAGCCCCUUCAUCUUCAUCAGCCAGCGUCCCUCCCCAGAGACCCAAGACACCAUCCACCCGCUUGAUGAGGAGGCCUUCCUGAAGGUGUCCCCAGAGCUGAGGAACUCGGACCUGCACGGCAGCACGGACAGUGGCUUUGGCAGCACAAAGCCAUCCCUGCAGACUGAAGAGCCCCAGUUCCUCCUCCCUGCCCCUCCCCCCCAGGCUGACAGAACGCUGGAAAACGGGGAGCUCCCUGUGCUGGGGGACAGCUGCAGUGGUGGCAGCAGCAAUAGCACAGACAGCGGGAUCUGCCUGCAGGAGCCCAGCCUGAGCCCCAGCACAGGGCCCACCUGGGAGCAGCAGGUGGGGAGCAACAGCAGGGGCCAGGAUGACAGUGGCAUUGGCCUAGUUCAAAACUCUAAGGGCCGGGCUGGGGACACACAGCGUGGCUCAGCCUUGGGCCACCACAGUCCCCCAGAGCCUGAGGUGCCUGGGGAAGAAGACCCAGCUGCUGUGGCAUUCCUGGGCUACCUGAGGCAGACCAGAUACGCUGAAGAGAAGGCAACCAAGACAGGCUGCCUGGAGGAAGAAUCGCCCUUGACAGAUGGCCUUGGCCCCAAAUUCGGGAGAUGCCUGGAUGAUGAGGCAGGCUUGCAUCCACCAGCCCUGGCCAAGGGCUAUUUGAAACAGGAUCCUCUAGAAAUGACUCUGGCUUCCUCAGGGGCCCCAACUGGACAGUGGAACCAGCCCACUGAGGAAUGGUCACUCCUGGCCUUGAGCAGCUGCAGUGACCUGGGAACAUCUGACUGGAGCUUUGCCCAUGACCUUGCCCCUCUAGGCUGUGUGGCAGCCCCAGGUGGUCUCCUGGGCAGCUUUAACUCAGACCUGGUCACCCUGCCCCUCAUCUCUAGCCUGCAGUCAAGUGAGUGACUCAGGCUGAGAGGCUGCUUUUGAUUUUAGCCGUGCCUGCUCCUCUGCCUGGACCAGGAGGAGGGCCCCCAGGGCAGAAGUAAGGCACGAGGCAGUCUGGGCACUUUUCUGCAAGUCCACUGGGGCCGGCCCCAGCCAGGCCCUGCAGGGCUGGUCAGGGUGCCUAGGGCAGGAGGAGGCCAACUCACUGAACUAGUGCAGGGUAUGUGGGUGGCACUGACCUGUUCUGUUGACUGGGGCCCUGCAGACUCUGGCAGAGCUGAGAAGGGCAGGGACCUUCUCCCUCCUUGGAACUCUUUCCUGUAUCAUAAAUGGAAGCUUCAGGGCCUUGCUGCUGGGGUCAUUUUUAGGGGAAAAAGGAGGAUAUGAAGGCCGAGUUUGAUCUCUGGGAUGGUCACAUGGGGAACAUCCCCUCAUCAGGCCUCUGAGGCAGGAAGCUUGUCACUGGAAGAUCUUAAGGUAUAUAUUUUCUGGACACUCAAACGCAUCAUAAUGGAUUCACUGGGGGAGACGGAGCUGAGACCCUGGAUGGGGCUUCCAGCUCAGAACCCGUCGCUCUGGUGGGUACCUCUGGUGCCCAUCUGCAAAUAUCUCCCUCUCUCCAGCAAAUGGAGUAGCAUCCCCCUGGGGCACUGGCUGUGGCCAAGCCACUCACAUCCCCACCUUGCUGCCCCACCAUCUUGCUGACAACUUCCAGAGAAGCCAUGGUUUUUUGUGUUGGUCAUAACUCAGCCCUUUGGGCGGCCUUUGGGCUUGGGCACCAGCUCAUGCCAGCCCCAGAGGGUCAGGGUUGGAGGCCUGUGCUUGUGUUUGCUGCUAAUGUCCAGCUACAGACCCAGAGGAUAAGCCACUGGGCACUGGGCUGGGGUCCCUGCCUUCUUGGUGUUCAGCUGUGUGACUUUGGACUAGCCACUUGUCAGAGGGCCUUAAUCUCCCAUCUGUGAAACAAGGACUCCACCUUUAGGGGACCCUCCAUGUUUGCUGGGUAUUAGCCAAGCUGGCCCUGGGAGAAUGUAGAUACUGUCCAUGGACUACCAAGCUGGCUUGAUCCUCAUGCCAGAGGCUAACAGAUCCAAUAGGAGUCCAUGGUGUCACGCCAAGACAGUAUCAGACACGGCCCCAGAAGGGGGCAUUAUGGGCCCUGCCUCCCCAUAGGCCAUUUGGAAUCUGUCUUCACACAAAGGCAGUUCAGUCCACAGGCGUGGAAGUUGUGAGGGGACAGGCCUGUGCGUGCCAUCCAGAGUCAUCUCUGAGCCCUGCCUUUCUCUGGAGCAUUCUGAAAACAGACAUUCUGGCCCAGGGAAUCCAGCCAUGACCCCCGCCCUUCUGCCAAAGUGCUCUUAGGUACCAGUCUGGUAACUGAACUCCUUCUGGAGACAGGCUUGAGGGAAGAUUCCUCAGGGUUCCCUUGAAAGCUUUAUUUAUUUAUUUUGUUCAUUUAUUUAUUGGAGAGGCAGCAUUGCACAGUGAAAGAAUUCUGGAUAUCUCAGGAGCCCCAAAGUUCUAGCUCUGACUCUGCUGUUUCCAGUGAUAUGACCUUGGGGAAGUCAUUUAUCGUCUUGGAGCCUCAGUUUCCUCAUCUGCAGAAUAAUGACUGAUUUGUCUAGUUCAUAGGGAUGUGAGGUUCUGCUGAGGAAAUGGGUAUGAAUGUACCUUGAACACAAAGCUCUGUCAAUGAGUGAUACAUGUUUUUUAUUCCAAUAAAUUGUCAAGACCACAGGAAUCGUGUGAAACCAGUGAGAUUGCUGAUGGCACAGUGGCUCAUGGAGGACUCGGUUGUUGAUAAUGAGGAGGGUAAUAAUGGGUGGGAUGUGUGAUGUCACUUUAAGGAAACAAGGCUGAGGACUCAGGCUUAAAUCUGACAGACCCAGGGAGUCCUCGUGCUACCUGUAUGGUGACCUUGGGCCCAUUACUUAUCUUCUCCAAGUUUUCAUUUCCCCACCUGUUACGUGGAGUUGACAACUCCCCAUGAGGAUGUUGUGAGGUGUAAAUGAAAUUGCACAUAAAAAGUUUAACAUGGUGCCAGGCAUGUGGUGGUCCCCUUGUGCCACUAGCUGUCAUUGGCUGUUGAGGCUGUAAAGAGAAAUGGACAGCUUUUCUUGGAAACAGGUGAAAAUGAAAGCGAUAAGGAGUGUGCAGCGGGGCUCUUUCAGAAGACAGAAAAGGAAGAGGUGGAAAGCACAAUGCAGUGUUUUGGAUGUGAGUUCUGACAAUGUGGAGAGAAGAACCUGGAAACCCCUCCUUUCCAGGAAGACAGAAAACUGGACCUCCCUGGAGCUCUGUUCCCAGAGCCCUGUCCCUGGCUCCCCUUGCCCAGGAGGCGUGUCCCAGCGGUGGUUCUCCUAAGUGCGGAAGCCAUCUGCACUCUAUUCUAGAAGCAGCCUGCUCCUUCCAUGAAAAACCCCAUGUGGGUUUGAAUUUCUCCCCGUGCUCAGCCCAGUAGGUAGAACAAACCCAGGCCCGUGGCCUGAGCUUCCUGGGUGUGCUUUUCUCUUCGUCCUACCUGAAUCCCCUAGAAGGUGACUGGGGACACCUCACCUCUUUUCCCCUGUGUCAUCUCCAAUCUUGCCUCACCCCGUUCAUUCUGAGAAAAUAACUAGUUCUGAGGAAGUGCUGAUCCUAUCAUCUUCAGAGAACUUGACUAAUAUCACACCAUUUCAGACCUGCUCAGGCUUUUGCCCUAGAGCCCUCCUUGUCAAUAUUGGAAAGAAAAGUAGUGUUGGUCACUUUCUCCCGGAAAUGAGGUGUUAACGAUGGCUUCUUCCCCAUAGAAAAGGCCCCUGAGGUCUAAAUAUAAAGAUUCAGAGAGUAAAAGGAAUUACAUUCAAGGAACUGCAGCCAGUUUGGUUGGAUACAACAGAUCAAGGAGCAGCUUGCAGGACAGAAGGAAGUCAGAAGACGCAGCCCUUGGUGCAAGCCCUGCCUGCUCCGUUUCUGUGGAAUGAGUAGGAGUUUGUGCUGGUUCACCUCUGCUUUGAGGCUGCUCUGUAACCACUCACCACAGAUAGGCCCUUGGGAGAAACUGAGCGAGUCCUUCCAAGCAGCCGGGGCUGAUGAGACACUUGCAGAUUUCUUGGGAAUUUGGAUUACGGUCCGCAACAGAAGGCCCCGGCUGUUCUUCAACUGAGCAAUCUCCUUCAAGGGCUUUGCCAAGCUGAGGAAUGCGUAAUGCUGUCUUUCUGUGAGCUAAUGGAACUUCCUCUUAGUACAGAAAGGGGGUAAAUGGGCCACCAGUGAGUGAAGAGGAAAUUCAAUAAACUGUGUUUUCCCAACUUUGUAAA